CAACUAACACUUCUCAAUCCAAAACGCCUCAGACCCAUAAUACAACAAUAACACAAUGGCUCUCCUAGGCCUACCAAACCAGUCAAUUCUCAUAUAACUAUACAAUUUAGCUAUUUAGUUUGAAACUAACAUUUUUCAAAAACUAUUCAAAUUAAUCACAAAAAUUCUAUAAUUAUUCCCUGCUGUCCUUAACAAUGUCAUUCUGCUAUUACAAUUGGAAUUAUAGCUUUCUAGUUACCCACGAAUAUUUUAUGGAUUUUACUUUAAACUCAACAUUAUGUUAAAAAGGGAAAUUUGGAGUUCGUAUUUACCUACACCAAUUCUGACACCUAGAACGCGU
rnacentral:misc_RNA from 1 species